rnacentral:rRNA from 1 species
CCUACGGGGGGCAGCAGUGAGGAAUAUUGGUCAAUGGACGAGAGUCUGAACCAGCCAAGUAGCGUGAAGGAUGACUGCCCUAUGGGUUGUAAACUUCUUUUAUAUGGGAAUAAAAUGUUCCACGUGUGGGAUUUUGUAUGUACCAUAUGAAUAAGUAUCGGCUAACUCCGUGCCAGCAGCCGCGGUAAUACGGAGGAUCCGAGCGUUAUCCGGAUUUAUUGGGUUUAAAGGGAGCGUAGGUGGAUUGUUAAGUCAGUUGUGAAAGUUUGCGGCUCAACCGUAAAAUUGCAGUUGAAACUGGCAGUCUUGAGUACAGUAGAGGUGGGCGGAAUUCGUGGUGUAGCGGUGAAAUGCUUAGAUAUCACGAAGAACUCCGAUUGCGAAGGCAGUUCACUGGACUGCAACUGACACUGAGGCUCGAAAGUGUGGGUAUCAAACAGGAUUAGAUACCCGUGUAGUC